UAGGGAAUAUUGGUCAAUGGAUGCAAGUCUGAACCAGCCAUGCCGCGUGCAGGAAGAAGGCCCUAUGGGUUGUAAACUGCUUUUGUCAGGGGAUAAAAUGGGCAUGCGUGCCUAAUUGAAGGUACCUGGCGAAUAAGCCACGGCUAACUACGUGCCAGCAGCCGCGGUAAUACGUAGGUGGCAAGCGUUGUCCGGAUUUAUUGGGUUUAAAGGGUGCGUAGGCGGCCUUAUAAGUCAGUGCUGAAAUAUCCCGGCUUAACCGGGAGGGUGGCAUUGAUACUGUAGGGCUUGAGUAAAGUUGAGGUUGGCGGAAUUGACGGUGUAGCGGUGAAAUGCUUAGAUAUCGUCAAGAACACCGAUAGCGAAGGCAGCUAACUAAGCUUUAACUGACGCUGAGGCACGAAAGUGUGGGGGAUCAAACAGGAUUAGAUACCCUGGUAGUCCACACUGUAAACGUUGAUUACUCGCUGUUGGCGAUACACAGCCAGCGGC
rnacentral:rRNA from 1 species